rnacentral:rRNA from 2 species
GCCUAAUACAUGCAAGUCGAACGAACUCUGGUAUUGAUUGGUGCUUGCAUCAUGAUUUACAUUUGAGUGAGUGGCGAACUGGUGAGUAACACGUGGGAAACCUGCCCAGAAGCGGGGGAUAACACCUGGAAACAGAUGCUAAUACCGCAUAACAACUUGGACCGCAUGGUCCGAGCUUGAAAGAUGGCUUCGGCUAUCACUUUUGGAUGGUCCCGCGGCGUAUUAGCUAGAUGGUGGGGUAACGGCUCACCAUGGCAAUGAUACGUAGCCGACCUGAGAGGGUAAUCGGCCACAUUGGGACUGAGACACGGCCCAAACUCCUACGGGAGGCAGCAGUAGGGAAUCUUCCACAAUGGACGAAAGUCUGAUGGAGCAACGCCGCGUGAGUGAAGAAGGGUUUCGGCUCGUAAAACUCUGUUGUUAAAGAAGAACAUAUCUGAGAGUAACUGUUCAGGUAUUGACGGUAUUUAACCAGAAAGCCACGGCUAACUACGUGCCAGCAGCCGCGGUAAUACGUAGGUGGCAAGCGUUGUCCGGAUUUAUUGGGCGUAAAGCGAGCGCAGGCGGUUUUUUAAGUCUGAUGUGAAAGCCUUCGGCUCAACCGAAGAAGUGCAUCGGAAACUGGGAAACUUGAGUGCAGAAGAGGACAGUGGAACUCCAUGUGUAGCGGUGAAAUGCGUAGAUAUAUGGAAGAACACCAGUGGCGAAGGCGGCUGUCUGGUCUGUAACUGACGCUGAGGCUCGAAAGUAUGGGUAGCAAACAGGAUUAGAUACCCUGGUAGUCCAUACCGUAAACGAUGAAUGCUAAGUGUUGGAGGGUUUCCGCCCUUCAGUGCUGCAGCUAACGCAUUAAGCAUUCCGCCUGGGGAGUACGGCCGCAAGGCUGAAACUCAAAGGAAUUGACGGGGGCCCGCACAAGCGGUGGAGCAUGUGGUUUAAUUCGAAGCUACGCGAAGAACCUUACCAGGUCUUGACAUACUAUGCAAAUCUAAGAGAUUAGACGUUCCCUUCGGGGACAUGGAUACAGGUGGUGCAUGGUUGUCGUCAGCUCGUGUCGUGAGAUGUUGGGUUAAGUCCCGCAACGAGCGCAACCCUUAUUAUCAGUUGCCAGCAUUAAGUUGGGCACUCUGGUGAGACUGCCGGUGACAAACCGGAGGAAGGUGGGGAUGACGUCAAAUCAUCAUGCCCCUUAUGACCUGGGCUACACACGUGCUACAAUGGAUGGUACAACGAGUUGCGAACUCGCGAGAGUAAGCUAAUCUCUUAAAGCCAUUCUCAGUUCGGAUUGUAGGCUGCAACUCGCCUACAUGAAGUCGGAAUCGCUAGUAAUCGCGGAUCAGCAUGCCGCGGUGAAUACGUUCCCGGGCCUUGUAC